GACGAACGCUGGCGGCGUNNUAAUACAUGNNANGUAGAACGNUGAAGAGAGGAGCUUGCUCUUCUUGAAUGAGUUUGCGAACGGGUGAGUAACGCGUAGGUAACCUGCCUNGUAGCGGGGGAUAACUAUUGGAAACGAUAGCUAAUACCGCAUAACAAUGGGUGACACAUGUCAUUUAUUUGAAAGGGGCAAUUGCUCCACUACAAGAUGGACCUGCGUUGUAUUAGCUAGUAGGUGAGGUAACGGCUCACCUAGGCGACGAUACAUAGCCGACCUGAGAGGGUGAUCGGCCACACUGGGACUGAGACACGGCCCAGACUCCUACGGGAGGCAGCAGUAGGGAAUCUUCGGCAAUGGGGGCAACCCUGACCGAGCAACGCCGCGUGAGUGAAGAAGGUUUUCGGAUCGUAAAGCUCUGUUGUAAGUCAAGAACGAUUGUGAGAGUGGAAAGUUCACACUGUGACGGUAGCUUACCAGAAAGGGACGGCUAACUACGUGCCAGCAGCCGCGGUAAUACGUAGGUCCCGAGCGUUGUCCGGAUUUAUUGGGCGUAAAGCGAGCGCAGGCGGUUUGAUAAGUCUGAAGUUAAAGGCUGUGGCUCAACCAUAGUUCGCUUUGGAAACUGUCAAACUUGAGUGCAGAAGGGGAGAGUGGAAUUCCAUGUGUAGCGGUGAAAUGCGUAGAUAUAUGGAGGAACACCGGUGGCGAAAGCGGCUCUCUGGUCUGUAACUGACGCUGAGGCUCGAAAGCGUGGGGAGCGAACAGG
rnacentral:rRNA from 1 species